GGCAUCUUUAUCUUUGUCUAAUGUUGCGCGCGCAUCAAGCUGAAUGGAGCUGAGUGGGGAGGUAUCGUAUUGAGACUAUUGAGGGGAAGUUUAUCUUUCAACAUGGUUGUAGCUGGUUGUAGUAAAAAUUUAUUAAUCUUGCAUAUAAUUUUUAUGCAUUUAUUCUGACUUCGAAUCAUCAUUCGAUACUUUCUCUCUCGUUUGAUUUUUGGAGACACCACUCUUAGAGGAAGUCCGCAGCUACAUGACUAAAGAAAACAAGAAAUUUAAUAAGCAAAGUGCUGUGACAUAAUAGAGAAUAAAAUGACAAAUACGUUUGUUGUGUGCAAAAAACAAUCUAUUCCGUUUAAUACAUCUCGAAGUUUUCACAAAUUUUCUGUUAAUGUUGAAAUGAAAAAGAAAUGGAUGGAAGCUAUUGGUGUGACAACGGUUUGUAAGACACCCGCAUAUGUAGCGACCACUUCCAUGAAGAUUCAUUUCAUCAGACUGAUGGAUACACAACUUUGAGACGUUUAGUAUCAACUGCUGUCUCUUUUAAUCGAAACGGUCAAUUAUCUUCACCAAUCAACAACGUACCUACUUAAAUACUUGAUGACAUAACGAAUCAUCAAGAUACGACAAUAAGUGUCGAAAAUACAUUUUCAACAAAUACGAAUACUAGUGGCUUUGAGACACAUAAUCAUUUAAGUCCCAGAAAUGGUAUUAAAAGAAAAUUAUCUGUCGUCGACAUUCACCCAACAAAAUUUCGUUUUAUGGUCGGAACUCAGUCAGAGUCUUUUUCAAGAAAGCACUUUGCUUCAGAUGAAGCUUGGGAGCGAUUUGUAAGAGUUAUGGCUACUGAAAAAUCUAAAAAAUCUGCUAUCCAUAUGAAGUUAACUAGAAAAGAAAAAAUAAAUACUAAUAUAAAAGAACUAAUCAAAACCAUCAAGGAGAAACAGUUUUCUAAAGCUGCUGAAUGUUUACAGGUAAAUUUGUAAUUAUAUGUUGCAGUGCAGUUUCAAUAUACAUUUCAAUCAUAUAUUAUGUAAUGGAAAAAUUCAUAUAAUUUUUUCCUGUAAUAUUAUUUAAUAUUAAUAACUAUAAUUAAUUUUAAUUAAAUAAUUACAGUUAAAUAUAAGUAUAAAUAUAAUUAAUAUACAUAAUUAAAUAUAAAUUGUAAUUAUAUUUCAAUCAAUUGUAUUUUUAUGUUUAAUUGUUUUUAUAUAAAAUAUACUUUGUACUAUAAUUGAACCAUAAAGUGUGUAAUUAUGAGAGAAAUUUAAAUAUACAAUCAUUAGCAUCAUA